UGCUGACGUGUCAGCGUUGCUGUCUUUCUAAAAAUCCAAUCAUGUAAAAGCCUAUCCUUAAAUUUGCUCUUUCUUCCACACUCUCCUUUCUUUUCUUUACUUUUCUCUUCUCUGGCUUCAUAAGAAUUCCCUGUUUGUGCACCAAAUUCUUUUUCAGGUUUAUAGCUGACUGGUGGCGAACUGCGGAAAGAGCAGGUGUGCCAAUAAACAUGUGUAAAACUUGGAAAGCCUGUAGAUUAAGAGAGAGACACCAAACACAAUUUUGCUACAGAAUUAUGCAGUAGUAAUAGUUACACUCUGAGCACAAUAUUGCAGCAGAAUCAAAAGUUCAAUGAACAAUCAAUCGACUAGAUCUGUAUCCAAAACUAUAUAAGUCAUCUGUUUAUGUUUAGAGGAU
rnacentral:lncRNA from 1 species